rnacentral:lncRNA from 1 species
GUUCACCGAUGGAUCCAUUAGUUCUUCAGUCUGGUUCGCGCAAUGAUUCUUCACGAAUUAAUAGAGGAUAGGAUGGGUCAGCGGAAAUGGUAAAGCUUCUCUGAGCGAGGGUAUUGAAUAGAACAAGGCGGACUGUGGCGAUGUCGUUACGAUUAACGUACGGUGCUCAGACUUCACCAAUUUUUCCGGUCAGCCGAGCCUUGAAGAUGCAAACACCGAAUUCCUUUUACUCAUUGGACUAGCACUCGAUUGCGCCUCUUUUCAACUUACGCACAUCCUGUUUACAUGCUUUUGUUGGGGUUUUUUUGGCGCAUGCAAGUUACUUUAUACACGUUAUAAUGAUAAUGGUAAACCAAUUUGAGUUCAGACCAUCUCAACAAUAGAGGA